AAAUCCUCAGAAGCAAGCAAUGCUUAUCCCUUGUCCAGUUCUUACUGAAAUCACACGUGCUGCUGAAAAGGCCUUAACAUUACUACCAUCUCAGACUCCUACAUCUCAUUAUACCAACAUCACACAAUUGCCAAAUGAAAAUAUUAUUCACUUUUAUAACUGUUUGCACAAAGCUACCUUUUCCCAGGUCCCUAAUCCUGAACUCCAACAAGCACUCCUACUCAAACUGCUCCAAGUGAAUAUGAAUGAUGCUUGCAAACAAGUCAUCCUCACUCUUCUUUUGCAUCCCCCUCUG